ACGCACGCUGGCGGCGUGCUUAACACAUGCAAGUCGCACGGGCCCGCUCUCUUUUUUGGGGGUGGGUUGAGUGGCGAACGGGUGAGUAUCACGUGAGUAACCUGCCCCCUGCUCCUGGAUAACUGCUUGAAAGGGCGGCUAAUACGGGGUGUGCCGGCUGGUCCGCAUGGGCCUGGUCGGGAUAGUUUCAUCUUCGGGUGUUUCGGUGGGGGAUGGGCUCGCGGCCUAUCAGCUUGUUGGUGGGGUGAUGGCCCACCAAGGCGGUGACGGGUAGCCGGCCUGAGAGGGUGGGCGGCCACACUGGGACUGAGACACGGCCCAGACUCCUGCGGGAGGCAGCAGUGGGGGGUAUUGCACAAUGGGCGGAAGCCUGAUGCAGCGACGUCGCGUGAGGGAUGGAGGCCUUCGGGUUGUGAACCUCUUUCUCCGGUGGUGAAGGCCCUGUCCGUUGCGGCGGGGUUGACGGUAGCCGGGUAUGAAGCGCCGGCUAACUACGUG
rnacentral:rRNA from 1 species